AAAACUUAGAUCUAGUUUUUGGUGUUUUUGAUGAGAGAGAAGAGAGAAAAAGUAUGGAACGAUUAUCUUUUUUCCUAAAAGAAAUAUUGCAACUGUUUUGUAUUUAAUUUUAUAAAGAGAAAAUUACAACAAUUACCACUUUUUCCAAUUUUUAUAAAAUCUACCACAUUUCUAAUUUCCUUAUAACUCCUACCACAUUUAUUAUUGAAUUACCAAUUUAUCCUCUCUAUUUAUCUUCUUAUUUAUCUCUCCUCUCUAUUUAUCUUUCUUCUCUAUUUAUUUUCCUUUUUAUUUAUCUCCAUUCUCUCGAAACACGUGCUCUUUAACCAAUAAACAUUAUAUUUGAACAAAUAACUUUUGUUUUUGUCUCGAAAUCUUGUCCCCAAUUGGAAAUUCUCUGUUGCGUCUAAAUCUUGUCCCCGAUUUCAUCAUCUUUCAAAAUUAUCAUGAAUCCCACAUCUCAUCCACUAAUUGUUCUCAUUUAAAGGUUUCAAAUUUUAUUUAUAUUUUUCACAAUCUAUUUUGGUACACAGAUUAGUUGAGCAUUAUUGUCUUCACCGACCCAGACUAUUGACUUUUUUCCUUCUAUUGCAAAAUAACAAAAAGAUCCAGUUAUAAUAUAUUUUAUCUUGUCUAUCAUUCGAUCUGAAUUUAUCCCCGAUCUAAUUCUAUCACUCAUUCGAUAUGAACUUGUCCCCGAUAUAACAUAUUAUUAAAAUAAGAUU
rnacentral:sRNA from 1 species